rnacentral:rRNA from 1 species
UACGAAGGGGGCUAGCGUUGCUCGGAAUCACUGGGCCUAAAGCGCACGUAGGCGGCUUUCUAAGUCAGGGGUGAAAUCCUGGAGCUCAACUCCAGAACUGCCUUUGAUACUGGGAAGCUCGAGUCCGGAAGAGGUGAGUGGAACUCCGAGUGUAGAGGUGAAAUUCGUAGAUAUUCGCAAGAACACCAGUGGCGAAGGCGGCUCACUGGCCCGAUACUGACGCUGAUGCACGAAAGCGUGGGGAGCAAACAGG